UACGUAGGGUGCAAGCGUUAUCCGGAAUUAUUGGGCGUAAAGAGCUCGUAGGCGGUUUGUCGCGUCUGCUGUGAAAACUGGAGGCUCAACCUCCAGCCUGCAGUGGGUACGGGCAAACUAGAGUACGGAAGAGGCGAGUGGAAUUCCUGGUGUAGCGGUGGAAUGCGCAGAUAUCAGGAGGAACACCAAUAGCGAAGGCAGCUCGCUGGGACGUUACUGACACUGAGGCGCGAAAGCGUGGGGAGCGAACAGG
rnacentral:rRNA from 1 species